rnacentral:rRNA from 1 species
AUUGAACGCUGGCGGCAGGCCUAACACAUGCAAGUCGAGCGGAUGAAGGUAGCUUGCUCCUGGAUUCAGCGGCGGACGGGUGAGUAAUGCCUAGGAAUCUGCCUGGUAGUGGGGGAUAACGUCCGGAAACGGGCGCUAAUACCGCAUACGUCCUGAGGGAGAAAGUGGGGGAUCUUCGGACCUCACGCUAUCAGAUGAGCCUAGGUCGGAUUAGCUAGUUGGUGGGGUAAAGGCCUACCAAGGCGACGAUCCGUAACUGGUCUGAGAGGAUGAUCAGUCACACUGGAACUGAGACACGGUCCAGACUCCUACGGGAGGCAGAAGUGGGGAAUAUUGGACAAUGGGCGAAAGCCUGAUCCAGCCAUGCCGCGUGUGUGAAGAAGGUCUUCGGAUUGUAAAGCACUUUAAGUUGGGAGGAAGGGCAGUAAGUUAAUACCUUGCUGUUUUGACGUUACCAACAGAAUAAGCACCGGCUAACUUCGUG